rnacentral:rRNA from 1 species
UAAGCGGAGGAAAAGAAACUAACAAGGAUUCCCCUAGUAACGGCGAGUGAAGCGGGAAGAGCUCAAAUUUGAAAGCUGGCACCUUCGGUGUCCGCGUUGUAAUCUCGAGAAGUGUUUUCCGUGCUGGACCAUGUACAAGUUCCUUGGAAUAGGACGUCAUAGAGGGUGAAAAUCCCGUACUUGACAUGGACGCCCAGUGCUUUGUGAUACACUCUCCACGAGUCGAGUUGUUUGGGAAUGCAGCUCAAAAUGGGUGGUAAAUUCCAUCUAAAGCUAAAUAUUGGGGAGAGACCGAUAGCGAACAAGUACCGUGAGGGAAAGAUGAAAAGCACUUUGGAAAGAGAGUUAAACAGUACGUGAAAUUGUCGAAAGGGAAGCGCUUGAAGUUAGACAUGCUUGUCGGGAUUCAGCCUUGCUUUUGCUUGGUGUAUUUCCCGGUGUGCAGGCCAGCAUCAGUUUUGUUUGCCGGAUAAGGGUGAGAGGAAUGUGGCCCCUUGGGGUGUUAUAGCCUCUCACUGGAUACGGCGGAUGGGACUGAGGACCGCAGUGUGCCUUUAUGGCGGGCCUUCGGGCACCUUCACACUUAGGAUGCUGGCGUAAU